rnacentral:rRNA from 1 species
GCGUAGGUAUUAAUGGCCAGUCGAAACGGACUUCUAUUUGAAACCUAAGUGAUUUAUGAGUUAGUGGGCGGACGGGUGAGUAACGCGUGGAUAACCUGCCGUAUACCGGGGGAUAACACUUAGAAAUAGGUGCUAAUACCGCAUAAGCGCACGGCUCCGCAUGGGGCAGUGUGAAAAACUCCGGUGGUAUACGAUGGAUCCGCGUCUGAUUAGCUAGUUGGCGGGGUAACGGCCCACCAAGGCAGCGAUCAGUAGCCGGCCUGAGAGGGUGGACGGCCACGUUGGGACUGAGACACGGCCCAAACUCCUACGGGAGGCAGCAGUGGGGAAUACUGCACAAUGGGGGAAACCCUGAUGCAGCGACGCCGCGUGAGUGAAGAAGUAUCUCGGUACGUAAAGCUCUAUCAGCAGGGAAGAAAAUGACGGUACCUGACUAAGAAGCCCCGGCUAACUACGUGCCAGCAGCCGCGGUAACACGUAGGGGGCAAGCGUUAUCCGGAUUUACUGGGUGUAAAGGGAGCGUAGACGGCAGCACAAGUCUGGAGUGAAAUCCCGGGGCUUAACCCCGGAACUGCUUUGGAAACUGUGCGGCUGGAGUGCAGGAGGGGUAAGCGGAAUUCCUAGUGUAGCGGUGAAAUGCGUAGAUAUUAGGAGGAACACCGGUGGCGAAGGCGGCUUACUGGACUGUAACUGACGUUGAGGCUCGAAAGCGUGGGGAGCAAACAGGAUUAGAUACCCUGGUAGUCCACG